GUGCUUGCUCUGGCAGCACACACACUAAAAUUGGAAUGAUACAGAAAAGAUUAGCAUGGCCUCUGUGCAAGGAUAACACACACAUUCAUGAAGCAUCCCAUAUUUUU
ensembl:snRNA U6 U6 spliceosomal RNA